UACGGAGGGGGCUAGCGUUGUUCGGAAUUACUGGGCGUAAAGCGCGCGUAGGCGGAUUGUUAAGUUAGGGGUGAAAGCCCGAGGCUCAACCUCGGAACUGCCUUUGAUACUGGCGAUCUAGAGGACGGGAGAGGUGAGUGGAACUGCGAGUGUAGAGGUGAAAUUCGUAGAUAUUCGCAAGAACACCAGUGGCGAAGGCGGCUCACUGGCCCGGAACUGACGCUGAGGUGCGAAAGCGUGGGGAGCAAACAGG
rnacentral:rRNA from 1 species